rnacentral:tRNA from 1 species
GAUGUUGUAGCUCAGUGGUAGAGCACUUGCUUAGCAUGUGUGAGGCACUGAGUUCAAUCCUCAGCACCACA